AUUGAACGCUGGCGGAAUGCUUUACACAUGCAAGUCGAACGAUGAGACCUAGCUUGCUAGGUUGAUUAGUGGCGAACGGGUGAGUAAUGUAUCGGAACGUAUCCAAUAAUGGGGGAUAACUAACCGAAAGGUUAGCUAAUACCGCAUACGCCCUACGGGGGAAAGCAGGGGAUCUUCGGACCUUGCGUUAAUGGAGCGGCCGAUAUCUGAUUAGCUAGUUGGUGAGGUAAAGGCUCACCAAGGCGACGAUCAGUAGCUGGUCUGAGAGGACGACCAGCCAUACUGGAACUGAGACAAGGUCCAGAAUCCUACGGGAGGCAGCAGUGGGGAAUUUUGGACAAUGGGCGAAAGCCUGAUCCAGCCAUUCCGCGUGAGUGAAGAAGGACUUCGGGUUGUAAAGCUCUUUCGCAAGGGAAGAAAACUUACUUUCUAAUAAAGAGUGAGGUUGACGGUACCUUGAUAAGAAGCACCGGCUAACUACGUGCCAGCAGCCGCGGUAA
rnacentral:rRNA from 1 species